GCCUUUGUGGGGUAGUGGUCAGCACGCUCGGCGCGUAUUCGAGAGGUCCGGGGUUCAAGUCCCGGCGAGGGCA
rnacentral:tRNA from 1 species